rnacentral:rRNA from 1 species
AGUGAACGCUGGCGGUAGGCCUAACACAUGCAAGUCGAACGGCAGCACAGUAAGAGCUUGCUCUUACGGGUGGCGAGUGGCGGACGGGUGAGGAAUACAUCGGAAUCUACUUUUUCGUGGGGGAUAACGUAGGGAAACUUACGCUAAUACCGCAUACGACCUACGGGUGAAAGCAGGGGAUCUUCGGACCUUGCGCGAUUGAAUGAGCCGAUGUCGGAUUAGCUAGUUGGCGGGGUAAAGGCCCACCAAGGCGACGAUCCGUAGCUGGUCUGAGAGGAUGAUCAGCCAAACUGGAACUGAGACACGGUCCAGACUCCUACGGGAGGCAGCAGUGGGGAAUAUUGGACAAUGGGCGCAAGCCUGAUCCAGCCAUACCGCGUGGGGGAAGAAGGCCUUCGGGUUGUAAAGCCCUUUUGUUGGGAAAGAAAAGCAGCAGGUUAAUACCCCGCUGUUCUGACGGUACCCAAAGAAUAAGCACCGGCUAACUUCGU